rnacentral:lncRNA from 1 species
GGUUUGGAGUUAAACAGUGGUACAUCGCGAGUAUAAAACCUAAUAGGUUUGGAAUCAAAUACUGAGAUAUAAUAUUUAAAUACUUAUGCGUGUGAUAGACUUAGGAAGGUCUUAAUUUUCAGUAACUUUUAUGGUCCCUUAUAAAUCUAACUGAAGUAUAUUUAUAGCAACAGAACGAAUAUUGCGACGGAAAAGUAAUCGCAUAUUACUAAGAAUAAAGUAAAAUGUUAACAUUUAUUUUCCCAAACGCCUGGUGAUAUGAAUUCCCCUACCCUGGUAAAUGAGGCUGGUAAAAGUUCAUCAACAUUAGAUUUCAAAUAUGAUGAUUGUAAAGUUUUAUGAAAAAAUUCCAUUUGGUGUGGAAUUGUAUUCAACUUAUCGCUAAGCACGAUAGUGCUCAGUAUUUCGGGAUAGGCCGAGAAAAAAUAAUGGCUGCCGCAUACACUCUAUUACUUUUUUCAUCUAUGAUGCUUACAAAUAACUGCUAAAGUUGAGUUACAGCCAUAUUUGAGGUCACUUUGCAAUAGCUGCCAAACAUCACAUAACAAUUGCUGAAAUGUAAGAAAUUGAAAUUAUUGAUGAAGAAAAGUCUUGAAGAAAUACUUUGCAGUGGAAGACAUGAUUUAGUAUAUUCCACAAGUGGCAGCAUCAUUCUUAGAAAACCCAUUGUCAAAAUUCAGGGCAAAAGAAUAUUAAAUAUUCUCCAGGACAGCCUUAUGUCACAUGUCUAUUAAUAUGCCUAAUACACAGAAAAUCAUUUGAAAUGCUGGCUGCUUCCAGUUCAAUUGAAAUGCAAAAAAUCACCCAGACAGUUUCUGCUACAUUUGUGGAAAAUAUAUUACAGUUUCAUGAAGGAAAAACAUCACACACAAGCUAAAGGUGCCUUAUUACCACUAUUUUGGAUAUAAAAUUUAUGACCAAAAAAAAAACACUGGGCUCCACAUGUGUGUGUUGUACAACUUUCACAUCUGAGUUGACACAGUGGCUGAAUAUGAAGAGAUCAAAUAUGCCAUUUGCAAUUCCCAUGAUAUGACAUGAGCCUAAAGAUCAUCUAACUGACUGUUAUUUUUGCAUGACAAAUGUUUCUGGAUAUUCAGGCAAAAAUA